GACGAACGCUGGCGGCGUGCCUAAUACAUGCAAGUAGAACGCUGAAGGAGGAGCUUGCUCUUCUGGAUGAGUUGCGAACGGGUGAGUAACGCGUAGGUAACCUGCCUGGUAGCGGGGGAUAACUAUUGGAAACGAUAGCUAAUACCGCAUAACAGUAGAUGUUGCAUGACAUUUACUUAAAAGGUGCAAUUGCAUCACUACCAGAUGGACCUGCGUUGUAUUAGCUAGUUGGUUGGGUAACGGCUCACCAAGGCGACUAUACAUAGCCGACCUUAGAGGGUGCUCGGCCAAACUGGAAAUGAGACAACGCCCAGACUCCUAAGGGAGGCAGCAGUAGGGAAUCUUCGGCAAUGGACGGAAGUCUGACCGAGCAACGCCGCGUGAGUGAAGAAGGUUUUCGGAUCGUAAAGCUAUGUUGUAAGAGAAGAACGAGUGUGAGAGUGGAAAGUUCACACUGUGACGGUAGCUUAACAGAAAGGGACGGCUAACUCCGUG
rnacentral:rRNA from 1 species